ACGUACGGCCAUAGAUACUGGAAAGCACGGGAUCCCGUCCGCUCUCCCCUAGUUAAACCAGUAAUCGGCGGGAUUAGUAGUUGGGUCGGUGACGACCAGCGAAUACCCGCUGCUGUACGUU
rnacentral:rRNA from 1 species